CCUAGUAAAAAACAGAGGGAAACUGGCCUAUUCUCCAUAUCCCAAACACUGCUCCGCGUGAGGCCUAAAUCAAUGGUGAGAACUUGUACUAUAAAUCGUAGGAUGUAUGAUUGUAGUGGUACUCACUAGGCAUAGGUCGAUUGAGGUCCAACAAUAAAGACAUCAUAAAUAGAGAGUAUAUAAGGAAAGUAUAACACAAAAAACUAAGGAAAAGACAUUAUAUAGUUUAAUAUGAACAACACUAUAAAAGAAUAGAAUACAAUGAAAAGGAGACCGAGUGUAAGUACCUGACCUGGUCAUUAUAAUAAGCAAAUAGUUAAACAAUUUGGGUCAGAAAACCUUUCGGGUAGUGACUUAAAUUUUGUUUGCUAGGCUAGACUCAGAUGGAAACUGUGUAUGGUCACAUCUAGGAAUAUCUGGGAAUGUGUAGUGUGCGAAAUUGAGGUUUGGUUGAUACUUUAUUAUAUCAAAGACAUUAAGGAGUCAGCAGAAAUUUUCAAAAUUGAACUCAGAUAAGUAUAACUUCCAAAAUUUAUUUUGGCGUGGACUAUGUAGGAACAUCAAGGGAAGAAGUUGUGCUUUAUUUUCUCAAAUUUUGAGGCUAUGAAAUUUCAUCAAGCCCAUUGUAGCAGGAGGCAUUACUCUACACUGAUGCUAAGACCACUUUAGUGGGUAAGUAUUGUUAUAGUGGCGUCGCUAGAGUAGGUAUAGUAGAGAGAGAAACAAGAUUUAUAUGGAAACAACCAUAAAGACCCUAUUUUCGACACUUCAUAUUCUUGGACAUGGGAGGGGCAAUUUCGGACGGUCUUCACUAUUUUUCCAUGAGAUUCUUCGUUAAAGAUUCUAUUAAACAAGGAACUGAAGAAGCAAAGAGAAAUGGCAGCUGCAGCUAAGGAGGAAGAGAAGAAGACGUAUAACUCGACUAUUGAACUGCUCAAAUCCUCAAAGAUCGACCUUUUUGGUUUUGGGACUCCCAGAAUCUUGAAAUUUUCGUUAUGUGUUCUGCAUGAAAUAGUGUUAUUGAGCUUUUGUAUACACAGGUGAGUACCUUCUCUUUAGUCUUUAUGUAGGCAAGCUUCUGAUUGGAUUAGCUUCAGCAUUGAGGGGAUCAACUAAAUCAUUUCUUUCAGAUAUAUGUUCCUAUCAUUCUGGCUCAUGCAAGUGAUUUUUGGACGUUGAGAUACACAACCACCCUAGACAAUGGUAGCAUUUAUGGUUAGUCAAAGAUUCCUAUCUGUUACCGGGCUUGAACCACAUCCUGCUGCUGUUUCCCAGAUUGUUAGAGCUCAAAUGGUUUCAUCUAGAUAUCUGAUCCAGUCCUGUGACAAUGGAAGAUCAAUCAUAUAUAUUGUUGACCACCUGAAUCUUGAGCCAUCUGAUGUAGCUAUUGAAUCAUUUUCCUUCAAGCACGCAAGAUCAUUGGAUGAUAAUUGUUGUAGUGGCAACCAUUAGUGUUUUGUAAUAGUACUAUAAAUUGUAUGAUCGAUCGGAUCAUAAUGAUUAGAGUGAAUGAUGUAUUUAGCAAUUAAUUGCAGUAGUAAGGAUAACAUUAGUGUACUCAUGGUGGAGUUGAAUACAUUUGUAUGGCAUAAUUAAGCUUUCACAAUCAAAUGAUAUGAAAACAAGUUUAUGUUAGA